UGGUGGGUAGUUUGACUGGGGCGGUCUCCUCCUAAAGAGUAACGGAGGAGCACGAAGGUUAGCUAAUCCUGGUCGGACAUCAGGAGGUUAGUGCAAAGGCAUAAGCUAGCUUGACUGCGAGAGUGACGGCUCGAGCAGGUGCGAAAGCAGGUCUUAGUGAUCCGGUGGUUCUGUAUGGAAGGGCCAUCGCUCAACGGAUAAAAGGUACUCCGGGGAUAACAGGCUGAUACCGCCCAAGAGUUCAUAUCGACGGCGGUGUUUGGCACCUCGAUGUCGGCUCAUCACAUCCUGGGGCUGAAGUAGGUCCCAAGGGUAUGGCUGUUCGCCAUUUAAAGUGGUACGCGAGCUGGGUUUAGAACGUCGUGAGACAGUUCGGUCCCUAUCUGCCGUGGGCGCUGGAGAAUUGAGGGGGGCUGCUCCUAGUACGAGAGGACCGGAGUGGACGCAUCACUGGUGUUCGGGUUGUCAUGCCAAUGGCAUUGCCCGGUAGCUAAAUGCGGAAAAGAUAAGUGCUGAAAGCAUCUAAGCACGAAACUUGCCCC
rnacentral:rRNA from 1 species